GGCGCACGGGUGAGUAACACGUAGGCAACCUGCCACCGGGAGGGGGACAACACGGCGAAAGCCGUGCUAAUACCGCAUAAUGCAGCGGGGCCGCAUGGCCACCGCUGCCAAAGGGGAAACCUGCCUGGUGAUGGGCCUGCGUCGCAUUAGCUAGUUGGUAGGGUAAUGGCCUACCAAGGCGAUGAUGCGUAGCUGUUCUGAGAGGAUGAUCAGCCACACGGGGACUGAGACACGGCCCCGACUCCUACGGGAGGCAGCAGUGAGGAAUCUUGCGCAAUGGACGAAAGUCUGACGCAGCCACGCCGCGUGCAGGACGAAGGCCCUCGGGUCGUAAACUGCUUUUGUCAGGGAAGAAACCGCGGGAUUUGUCCCGCGCUGACGGUACCUGUCGAAUAAGCACCGGCUAACUCCGUGCCAGCAGCCGCGGUAAUACGGAGGGUGCAAGCGUUGUCCGGAAUCAUUGGGUGUAAAGGGUGCGCAGGCGGACUGCUAAGUCUGGGGUGAAAGACCACGGCUCAACCGUGGAAGGUCCCUGGAUACUGGUGGUCUUGAAUAUGAGACAGGCCGGUGGAAUUCGAGGUGUAGCGGUGAAAUGCAUAGAUAUCUCGAAGAACACCAGUGGUGAAGACGGCCGGCUGGAUCAUUAUUGACGCUCAGGCACGAGAGCGUGGGGAGCAAACAGGAUUAGAUACCCUGGUAGUCCACGCCGUAAACGAUGGAUACUAGGUGUCGUGGCUUUCGGGCUGCGGUACCGCAGCUAACGCGUUAAGUAUCCCACCUGGGGAGUACGCCCGCAAGGGUGAAACUCAAAGGAAUUGACGGGGGCCCGCACAAG
rnacentral:rRNA from 1 species